UACAGAGGGUGCAAACGUUGUUCGGAAUUACUGGGCGUAAAGCGCGUGUAGGCGGCUACGCAAGUCGGAUGUGAAAGCCCACGGCUCAACCGUGGAAGUGCACCCGAAACUAUGUAGCUUGAGUUCUGGAGAGGAAGGCGGAAUGCUUGGUGUAGAGGUGAAAUUCGUAGAUAUCAAGCGGAACACCGGUGGCGAAGGCGGCCUUCUGGACAGUAACUGACGCUGAGACGCGAAAGCGUGGGGAGCAAACAGG
rnacentral:rRNA from 1 species